rnacentral:ncRNA from 1 species
AUUUAAGACGUAAUGUACCUUCGUAUAUCCUCGAUAAUAUGGUUCGAGAGUCUCUACCGGGACACCGUAAAUGCCCCGACUACGAAGGCAGAUGUUCUUAUU